CCCCUAGUAACGGCGAGUGAAGCGGGAACAGCUCAAAUUUGAAAUCUGGCCUUCGGGUCCGAGUUGUAAUUUGCAGAGGAUGCUUUUGGUGCGGUGCCUUCCGAGUUCCCUGGAACGGGACGCCUUAGAGGGUGAGAGCCCCGUACGGUUGGCCACCAAGCCUGUGUAAAGCUCCUUCGACGAGUCGAGUAGUUUGGGAAUGCUGCUCAAAAUGGGAGGUAUAUUUCUUCUAAAGCUAAAUACUGGCCAGAGACCGAUAGCGCACAAGUAGAGUGAUCGAAAGAUGAAAAGCACUUUGAAAAGAGGGUUAAAUAGCACGUGAAAUUGUUGAAAGGGAAGGAUUUAUGACCAGACUUUUUCUGGGGGGAUCAUCCGGUGUUCUCACCGGUGCACUUCCCCCAGUUGAGGCCAGCAUCGGUUUCUGCCGGGGGAUAAAAGCUUCGGGAAUGUGGCUCCUUCGGGAGUGUUAUAGCCCGUUGCAUAAUACCCUGGCGGGGACCGAGGUUCGCGCAUCUGCAAGGAUGCUGGCGUAAUGGUUAUUAAUCACCCGUCUUGAAACACGGACCAAGGAGUCGAACAUUUGUGCGAGUGUUUGGGUGUUAAACCCUCACGCGUAAUGAAAGUGAACGGAGGUGAGAGCCCUUUAGGGUGCAUCAUCGACCGAUCCUGAUGUCUUCGGAUGGAUUUGAGUAAGAGCAUAACUGUUCGGACCCGAAAGAUGGUGAACUAUGCGUGGAUAGGGUGAAGCCAGAGGAAACUCUGGUGGAGGCUCGCAGCGGUUCUGACGUGCAAAUCGAUCGUCAAAUCUGCGCAU
rnacentral:rRNA from 1 species